rnacentral:rRNA from 1 species
UAGUCCACGCUGUAAACGAUGAUCACUAGCUGUUGGCGAUACACCGAUCAGCGGCAAAGCGAAAGCAUUAAGUGAUCCACCUGGGGAGUACGGUCGCAAGAUUGAAACUCAAAGGAAUUGACGGGGGCCCGCACAAGCGGAGGAACAUGUGGUUUAAUUCGAUGAUACGCGAGGAACCUUACCUGGGCUUAAAUGCAGGACGACGUCCCGAGAAAUCGGGACUCUCUUCGGAGCGGACUGCAAGGUGCUGCAUGGUUGUCGUCGGCUCGUGCCGUGAGGUGUCGGGUUAAGUCCCAUAACGAGCGCAACCCCUAUCGUUAGUUGCCAGCGAGUCAAGUCGGGGACUCUAACGAAACUGCCGGUGUAAACCGAGAGGAAGGUGGGGAUGACGUCAAAUCAGCACGGCCCUUAUGUCCAGGGCUACACACGUGUUACAAUGGUCGGUACAGAGGGUAGCUACUAUGUAAAUAGAUGCCAAUCUCGAAAACCGGUCUUAGUUCGGAUCGAAGUCUGC